AUUUAUUGAAUGCCUGCUAUGUGCCAGGCAUUGUGCUGAG
ensembl:miRNA